GGUCGCGUGGUCUAGAGGUAUGAUUUGAUCUUAGGGUGUUUCUCUACAUGAUCAAGGUCCUGGGUUCGAUUCCCAGCUCGACCC